UCCGGCUUGCCACCGGCAGUUCCACUAGAGUGCCCAGCUUAACCUGAUGGCAACUAGUAGCGAGGGUUGCGCUCGUUGCGGGACUUAACCCAACAUCUCACGACACGAGCUGACGACAGCCAUGCAGCACCUGUGCACCGGCCCCUUGCGGGAUACCGGCAUUUCUACCGGCGUUGAGAAGCCGUUCGAGCCCAGGUAAGGUUCUUCGCGUUGCGUCGAAUUGAACCACAUGCUCCACCGCUUGUGCGGGCCCCCGUCAAUUCCUUUGAGUUUCAGCCUUGCGACUGUACUCCCAGGCGGCAUAUUUAACGCGUUAGCUCCGGCACAGACAGAAUGAACUGCCCACACCAAAUAUGCAUCGUUUAGGGCGUGGACUAC
rnacentral:misc_RNA from 1 species